CACAACCUUGUAAGAGAAUGUCUGUCAAUGCUUUCUGCAGAAUUUGGAAACACAACACUUCCUAAACAGAUAUUUUGAGGCUGUGAGGUUGAACGUUUGAGAGUAUAUCAGUGUGUUUGUGGUCUUUGUGUUUCGAGGUGGAAGCUGAAUUAGUGAGGAUGACUCCUGCUCCUGUCAUCUCUAAGCUCCUCACAUCUUUACCUGCACAUGAGGAAAAUCACUCCUGUAGAAUGCAGUGGUUCAUCAGAACCUCUGGGGAUGUCCUGUGGAUUCUGUGGAUCCUGUGGGUUGCAGGGUGGGUCCUACCUAGACCAGGCUGAUCCUGGACCAUCCCACAGAUGCUCAAUCAGAUCUGGAUGUGGGGAGUGUGGAACCCAGAUGUUCAGAGGGAGAUGAUGCCACAUCUGGUCCAGCCAAUGGAAGGUCUUGAAGUUCUCUGACUGGCCUCGACUGAAGAUGGUCGUCUCACUGGAUUUAAGAUGCACAAUGAGGGACGUCUGCAGAGACUGAGAAAGAGUCUCACCACAUCCUGACAUGAGGAAAAAGACUUUAUUGAAGACUACAAUGAGAAAAACUAUCAGACAGCAGACGGCUGCAUUCAAGUCUGUAGCUGCUGAAUUCAUGGAUGAAUCAUCUGGCACUAGAGAGGAAGACCAUCAAACAUCCACGUCAGCUGAUGGAGGUCCAAGGGUCUCACCAAACAAACAAACAACCUACAGAGUAGUGAUGUUAGGAGACAUGCCGAGGCUUCGAAGCAUGUGCCGAGUAAUGGAGGGGGCGUUUCCACGAAUCGCGUAUCGAGGCUUGCUUCAUUCAGGGGAGGAGCCAAAAUGAUGACGUCCGAAGCCUCGCUGUCUGGCUGAACCACGUAACUGCUUCGGAAAGUGGUUCAGAUUUUGCCGUGAGGUUUGACAGCAACAUAAACCCCUCAGGCUCCGUUCAAAAUGUGGGUUUUUGAUAGAGAGUUGCGGUCAGUUAAGAGUUUGAAUAGCUUGAGUACUAGAGUUUGGAGAGUGUUGAUAUAGUUUGGAGAGUUUAGAGAGUAGAAAGAUAGUUUGGAGAUUUAGGAGAGUGAGAAGGAUGGGUUUUAGGAAGGAGCCAGCUAGGAAGAGGAGGAUUUCCCCUGU